CACAGUUUCCUGCAACUUAUCCUAGUUAUCCAAUAUAUAGUUAAUUAAAUACGCGUUCGCCCAUUUAGUACUACCAAAUUGUCAAUUUCGACAUACUAAAACGCUGUUUUCUGACCAUCAGAAUUCUGCCAAAUCUUCCCCAAAGUCCAGGAAAUGGCAUUUCAGAGACUCUAGAUUUAAAAAUUUCCUCGGGCCUUCGGCCCUCGCUUUCAGCCCCCCCAAUCAAAAAGAGCUUCCUACGGCCCUGAAACGCUACGGAAACGACACCGUGUGGAUUAUUAAUAGUUAGGAUGAGGGGUCAAAAAAUUUGUCAAAAAAAUAGGGGGUCAUAAUUUUUUUAUCAACUUUUCUCUUGGG